rnacentral:tRNA from 1 species
GCCGGGGUAGCUCAGUCGGUCGAGUGUCUGACUUUGGCUCAGGUCAUGAUCUCAACGGCUCAUGGGUUCGAGCCCCGUGUCAGGCU